GGAUGUGAGGGCGAUCUGGCUGCGCCAUGUCACCCCGCUGAUCUCCAGGGUUGAUUUGGCUAAUCUGGCUGGCUAGGCGGGUGUCCCCUUCCUCCCUCAACGAUCCAUGUGCGUCCCUCCUGAAGCUGCACAUUGAAAGAGGAUGACCACCCCUGAUAGAGGAGGACGGUCCCUCAGUCAAGGGUAUACAAGUAGCUGUACUCCCCUGCUAGAACCUCUAAACAAGCACUCGAGAAUAUCACAGCCAUCCUCAACAACAGUGAGGUCCCAAGCUCCUCCACUGAUAAAAACAGCUGAGUUC
rnacentral:snRNA from 1 species